rnacentral:misc_RNA from 1 species
GCCGGCCGGCUUGAUCUCGGUGGUGAUCGAACCAUACCGCUUGGCGUUGAGCGCCUUGUUGUAGGCAUCCUUCGAGGCCAGCGCCGCCUUCGUCUGCGCGUCGCUGGUGGUGUAGAUCGCCGAGCGGUACUGCGUGCCGAUGUCGUUGCCCUGGCGCAUCCCCUGGGUCGGAUCGUGGCUUUCCCAAAACGUCUUCAGCAACGCGUCGUAAGACACCUUGUUCGGAUCGAACACCACCAGCACCGCUUCGGUGUGGCCGGUGCGGCCCGAGCAGGUCUCUUCCUAGGUCGGGUU